UUACACCCAUACCUCUGGCUCUGAUACUACUUGUUGGAUCAUUGGUGCUAACUAUUAAUCCGAAAAGCUAGAGCUGUUAGAGAUACAUAACUAAUCCACUUAAAGUGUGAAGAUACAACUUUCAUAGGUCUCGAUUGUGACUUGGCCCAACUUGCCUCAUGCCACUUCGAACAUGACUCGGCCCAACCCAGCCUCAUGUCAUUUCGAAUGUGACUAGGCCC
rnacentral:lncRNA from 1 species